AUAAAAAAACUUUGAAUUUGUGCUUUGUUUCAUUUGCUGUAAAUUUGCUAAGAAUGUAAUAUAAGAUUAGAAUAGUGUUUAUUUGUUUGCCUAUUUAUAAGGAACCCCAUUAGCAUUAGCUAAGCACUGCAGGAGAGAGGCCCCAGACAUGAGGAGGAACGCAUGAAGGCCAGGUGAAGAGAGGGACCCGACAGCAGGAACAGUGACAGAAGGAGACAACGCGUGCGAUUGGCAGCAGGGCAGAGGUAUACCUCUGCCUGCAUUUGUGAGUAGUGUCUCCAGUGUCGUUCACCGGGUGCAGCCGUGUUGGGAGAGGGUCGCCAUGGCUAUAAGCCAGGGCCGCUUCCGGGACAAUGGUUCUGGCCCAUUGACUGUAGAAAACACCAGUCCGCAGGCGUGUGGGGUCUCAGAGCUCUGAUGCGCAUGGAAUUUUCUCUGGAGAGUUGCCGCAGUCAGAAAGGUUUAAGAAUAUGCAAAAACCAAAUCUCUGAGAGAUGCAACCAGAAGACGAAUGAGAAACAUACUUGAGGCUGAGAUGACAGAAACACAUGGGACAUCUCCCCCUAAAAGCGUAAGAAUGAUGUAUGCGCAAGGGAUUGUUGCUCUGUCUCCAUAUCUGGAAGACCCAUAUUCACAACAUGGAUAUGAACAUUACUACAAUCCAGAGGGCAGUUCAGGAUACCUUGAGUGGCGGUUGAAGACCAUUCAAAGAAAAGCUGCGGAGGAAAGAAGCGCCUCGGUUUGCAAAUCUCCCAAAAUUGGUGGGCCAGGCCAUGGUCGAUCCAGACCACUCACCACUCAGACAGUGUUAUCAGAUGAGGAUAUAAGAGCAGCUAUUGCUCUUUUGAGACACUCUGCUGAUGAAGACAUCCUUAAAAAGAUGAAAGCUACCUUCUUUUAUCGGCAUUCAAUGGUUAGCGAUGAAAAGAAUCCAGCAGAUGUCUUCAUAGGCCUGAUGCGGUUUCUGGACACACCAGGACUGAUAGAACAAGAUUUCCGACUCCUUUUUUGUGAGGUCACUGCCAGCAAAUUCUUGGAGAGGUGGCCCAUCAAUCUCAAAGCAAAGGUUGUAAAGGAAAGUCAUGGAUUUGUCUCCACCUCAGAGCUCUUGGAGUUAAUGUGCAAUGCUGAGUCAGGCUGGGACAGUGACAUGUCUGCUAUCUUGCUGCUAUAUCUGCUACCACCAUCUGCACAAGGGCGAAAGAGACCAGGAAAGAUGUCUGCAUCUCAAGCUGUCGAUAACCUCAUCAAAUUCCCAAAGGCUGGAACCAGUGUACAGCAGCAUCUAGACAACAUCACCUGAAGCAGUCAGCCCUGCUUUCUUGCUCAGGGAUCCACAAGAAGCAGCAUGCACACCUUGUGAUUGACAAGCAUGCACUUCCAUGUAAAGUGACAGGUUCAGUAGGAUCCCUUGAUGAACUCUUUAGGGCCCAUUAUGUCUUUGGUACAUCAUACAGUUCAUCCCUGACCAACUUUUUCACUUUUCUGCAAACAACUAUGACAUUGGGGAAACGUCAUAUUGCUUUCUCUAGUGAGCAUCCUAGAACUGUAUGCUAAUGCAAGGGUUUGUUACGUUAAUUAAAUGACACUGAAAUGAGAAACAUAAUAAAUGCUGUUACUUUAA